rnacentral:misc_RNA from 1 species
AAGUCGUAACAAGGUUUCCGCAGGUGAACCUGCGGAAGGAUCAUUACCAAAUCCAAAACUUUAUCAACACCAAACAAGUGAACUGAGAAUGGUUUCGUUCCCCUCUGCAUGUGCAUACAAUGUGUUUCCACAUUCGUGCGUGUGCGAAGGGGGAUGUUUUUUUUUCAACCCCUUUUCAACCUCUUACAAUCUUUUAUGCUGAAAGCAAAAAAAACGAAACAUGAGACAACUUUUAACGGUGGAUCUCUUGGCUCGU